UACGUAGGGUGCAAGCGUUUGUCCGGAAUUAUUGGGCGUAAAGAGCUCGUAGGCGGUUUGUCGCGUCUGCUGUGAAAACCCGAGGCUCAACCUCGGGCCUGCAGUGGGUACGGGCAGACUAGAGUGCGGUAGGGGAGAUUGGAAUUCCUGGUGUAGCGGUGGAAUGCGCAGAUAUCAGGAGGAACACCGGUGGCGAAGGCGGGUCUCUGGGCAACAACUGACGCUGAGGAGCGAAAGCGUGGGGAGCGAACAGG
rnacentral:rRNA from 1 species